rnacentral:tRNA from 1 species
GCUCCUGUGACGCAGUGGUUAGCGUGUCGUUCUUAUAUUGAUCAGAUCCGCUGAUAAAUAUGACGAAAUGCGAAAGUCGUGGGUUCGACCCCCACCAGGAGCA